ensembl:snRNA Gm23864 U6 spliceosomal RNA
GUGCUGGCUUGGGCAACACAUAUACUAAAAUCCGAAUGACAUACAGAGGAGAUUAGUGCGACCCCUACACAAGCAUGACACGGAAAUUCAUGAACGUUCCUUAAUUUUU